UAUGGAAAAGGCUCUGGCCUGGCA
rnacentral:piRNA from 1 species